rnacentral:lncRNA from 1 species
UACCGGUUUCCUAUUUGGUGCUACGGAGGCAAGCGCAGGCGCGGAGUUCCGAGGAAUUAAGCAAAGGUUUUCAUUUUGGUGCAACAAGACCAAUACCGCCAGGACGGCAGAGGUCAUCAUUGAGCCCACUACGGCGUCAUGACUAGAAGCUUUUGGCAGGCGAAGAUUAAUUUUGUCAGGAUAGCAUGUACCAGUUGUCUCCCUUCAAAUUUGGCUGUUGCGGGAUCCCAUCCCGCCUUGCAUUUGGGAAGAGGACCAAACCCACUAUAAAUAGGACUUAGCCACCACCAUAGCAGGGGAGGGAUCAUUCAGAUCAUCCUCUCACCCACGAGCUCAUCGACCAUAAGAACACCUCUCCUCCUGAGGCUGUUCUACACUGUACUAGUUCAUCCUCCGCACCUCGAGGCCAAUCCACCACAAAGCAGGAGUAGUGUUUUACACCGCAAGGUGUCCUGAACCUGGGUAAACUGCUGUGUCUUUUGUUCAUCCAGUUCGUCGAUCUAGGCCAUGGGAUUAGCGGGCGGGCAGACUCGGGAGGACGAGUUCUUCGCACGCACCCUAGAGUUGAAACCUCUCAAGGGUCUGCGGAACCCUAAAUCCGACAUUUGGCACGCCAGUUAGGGGUGCAUCGGAGCCUCUCUUCCGCUGGUCGACUUGCCAUCGCUCCACCGCUUCCAUGCCUGACGCCCGUCGAGCCCGUGCUGAGCGUCGGGCCGCCCUCGCCGCUCGCGUCGCCCAGACGGCGCCUGCCGGUGGGCCUCCCCAUCGUUCUCCGUCGCUUGCCGCCAACGCCACCACUGACUCGGCGGGGCACUAGCAGCAAGCUUCGUCGCUGCAACCCUCCGUGCGGCAUGAUGGACGCACGGCCACCCCGUCGCUGACUCCGGCUGGUUCGACGUCUCAUGCUCAUCGCGCGCCGGCGGACGCGCAUGCUGCGCUGCUCAUGGAGCGCAGACUCUUGCGCUACCGCCCCGUUGAUGACUUCUACAAAGACUGGCUGGACCGCAUCGCCGAGCUAGUCAGUGCUGUUGGGGGCUCUCCUGCCCCGUCUCUCUCGUUGCCUUGCCCGCCGCCUGCUGCGGGUGACGUAGCUCAUGGAGCACCUCCUCCACCUCCCCGUCAAGACGUCUUCCUCAGGCCAAGGUGCGCGGCCCCAUGGCGUGACCGGCCGCGCAGGGCGCCUGCCGCCUGCUGUGUUCGCCUCAAGAUCCCCAAGGUUUCGGACGAGGCCAUCAUCUUAGCGUUUUCUGAUGGCGUCCGCGACGUCAAGAUGAAGGCAGAACUCGCCAUACACGAGGAGCUGUGCACGGCUCUGGAGAUGUUCAACAUGGCAACUAAGUGCGCAAGAGCUGAGGAGGGUCGCCUCUCCCUCCAGGAGCUCUCGGGGACAGACCUAGAAGACAAGAAGGCCAAGCUCAAGGACGUGAAGCGCAAGGGGCUGGCUGUGCUUGCGGCCGAGCCAGAGAUGAAGCGCGACUGCGACCAUCCAGAGUCAUCCAAGGGCAGCCGCCCAUUCUCAGUCUUCCAAAACAUGCACAACCACAACACCAAUGACUGUCAGGAGCUCAGGGCCGUCCACGACGGGCGCCUCAGUCGUCGCCCCGAGCGCAACGACCGAGGCCAUGGCUGCGGAGGAGGCCGAGGAGGAGGACGCUGGGAUGACCGCGGCCCUUGUCAGGAGUGGUGCGAUCAGCCUCGUGAGGAGCGCUGGCAAGCCCAGCCUCAUGAGGGCGCCUGGAGAGAUCAGCCUCGUGAGGAUCGUCCUCAGGGUAAUGCCGGCCUCCCUUCGCUGUCACCACCACCAAGAAGGAAUGACGACCACCACCAGGACAAGGGGGCUGGGGGCUUCUAGGAGCCUCGCGCCAUCGCCUGCAUCCUGGGCGGUGCACAGGCCCCAGCCUCUCAUCGCAUCUUCAAGCAGUUUGCCCGCGAAGUGAACGCAGUCCUCCCCAGGCACGAGGCCAUGCGACCGCUCAGGUCAUCCAAGUGCACCAUCACCUUCAGCUCAACCGACCAACUCAAGUGCGCGGCAACUUCUGGUGCCCUCCCGAUGCUCUGCUCGCCCGUCAUCAGCAACGUCCUCGUCACUAAGACUCUCAUCGAUGGCGGUGCGGGGCUCAACGUUCUUUCCAUUGAGACGUUCGACCACCUCUAAGUACCCUAUGACCAGCUGCAGCCCACCAAGCCUUUCUCAGGAUUAACCGACGGCUCCACCACCCCGAUAGGGCAGAUCUGCCUCCCUGUCACCUUCGGCAAGCGCGACAACUACCGCACUGAGCUCAUCGACUUCGACGUCGCCCACAUCCGCCUUGCAUACAACGCCAUCCUUGGGUAUCCAGCCCUUGCCAAGUUCAUGGUAGUGGCUCAUCACGGUUACAAUAUCCUCAAGAUGCCAGGGAACCGCGACAUCAUCACAAUUGCCUGCGAGGAAAAGGACCCAGUGUGCGCUCUCGAGCGUGCCUACCAGGCUACGGCAGUCGAGAACCCCGACGAUGAAGGCACCGUCUACCCUCCUGAGGCUGUCCCCAUGAAGAAGAAGCAGCUGCUCCACCAAGGGCCUCAGGAGAAUGGCAUCUCCAGCGGCACCACCUCAGGACCUGCGCCCACAGAUGGGGCGCCUCCCUCUCUCGCAUAGGAAGGCGCGCCCGGCGCCCCUCUCAGACUGGGCACGGGGGCUCUUCUCUGGAGGGCCUUUGACUUAGCCAACAUCAUGAUGGAGGCGCGCGCUUCCGCCGGAGAGCACGAGGAACGAAGCACUAGCCGUGCUCAGGAGUUCAUCACGAAGGCAACCAAGGAGCUUCAAGAGGCGAGAGCCAUGUGCGGCGAUCGCCGCGCACCAUCCGGCACGGCUCCUUGUGCUGGCGAGGACAGUGAGCUGCAUGCCUGCGUCAACAUCCCUGGGCUCAACUGGGCCGCAUCUCAGGAGCGCUUCUGGCCAUCGCGAUGGUCGGUGCGAGGGCCCCCCUCACAGGUACGUUCGCAUGCCUAUUAGCCUACCGAAUGCGGUUGUUACCUUCUAGCCCGCAUGCGGAGCGUCCUGGUGGCUCACGAGGCCAGGCACCAGGUGGUCCUGGCGGAGAUGGCGACGGUCCUUCACGAGCCUGCCGGGCCUCCAGAGCCUCCCGAGGUUCAAGGCCAAGGUGGCUCGUGAGGAGCGAAUUCUUCAGCACGCGUCUUGAGCUAUGCCAACAUCUCUUCAGCAACGGUGCCAGGUGACAUUUUCUGGUUUACUCAGUUGGGGGUGCCCCUCGGGCUGCAUCAUUCCCAGGCCACGGGGGUCCGUCCCUGUGGCAUGUAUCAUUUUGCAUCUAUCGGAACUAGCUCUGCCCUAUCCAUGCCAUGAUUUAUGUUAUCACCCACUCGCCUAUUGUAUGGCCCUUUACGGUCUCCCGCAUUGCUGACCGCCCUCUUAUCCAUCCCACGACGAGGGCUCACAUGCUAGCACAACGUUUGUGCUCGGGUCCGUCGCUGCAACCCUGACGAAUCUAAGAGACCGAGCUCUGGCUCGCGGCCUCCCCGUGCACGUCACCUCACUAGGUCCUCAGUGCCUUCAUCUUCUCGCAGAAAGAUCAGCGGCAGGAGAACAUGCGGGCUUACGGGCUACGCUCUCUUCUCGGACUAACCCGUAGGAAUCCCUGGAGUUCGGUGGCAGGCGGCCCCGCCGGCCAUCCCUUUUCCACGCAAUUCGCUUGCACGUUAAAGGGGGGGACCCUUGAGCAUCGUGCCUUAUGAGCCCCUACUAACUCUCCAGCCCUCACCCCCUGGCCUUGACCACGGCAUCGUGACCUGGCAUACCAGCGGCGGCUGAGCCUCGCUCGAGGGUCGGAACCCGAGGACGUAGAGCACUCAGAUGAGCAUGGGAACGGGAGGCCAGCUUAAUCCCUGCCUGGAAGCAUCACCACUAAGGCACAACCAGGCGCUAUGCAAAGGAAUCACCGCGGGUUCAUUAAGUUAAGUCACCUAUACAUGUCAGCGUGAGGCCGCUGUCUGGGAUUUCGACACUCGCAAUCUCGCUUGGGCAACACCGCCUUCCUUUUCGCCCCCUCGGAAGUUGGUUGCACGCCAAAGGGGACCUCUUGAGCAUCGCACCUCAGGAGCUCUCACUUGAUCUCGGGCCGCUCACCUCCUGGCCUUGACCACGGCAUCGCGACCUGGGAUACCAGCGACGGCUGAAGCCCGCCUGGAGAUUAGGACAUGUCGGUGUAGAGCGCAAAGCUACUGCGGGAACGAAAAGGCGGGACAAUGCCGUAGCAAGAAUGUGCAGCCGCAAGCUCAUACUAGGAAUAAUACACUUCGGAGCAAAAGCAUUACAGUUUUUACAUACCACCACGGGGUCUGUCUCGAUUCCUCGCAGGGAAACAAAAGGAAACUUCGAGGAGCCCUGGCUGCUGGGCAUCAUCGACGAUACCAAGCGGAUGCCGCUGCUGCACUCCGGGCACGGCGAGUGCUCGGUGGCACAUAGCUGUCGUCGCUCGACUCCGGAGUGUUGCUAGGCUCGGGAGAGUCGCUCGACUCCCAGGAGUCGUCGCUUCUGCUGGAGGAGCAGUCGGCAGGACCGGAGGCGGGCUCGGCGCCCGCAAUCGUGCCACGCAGGCCGCUUCCCCUAGGACAACACUCCAAGCGGCAGCCCUCCUUGUUGAAGACCUUGAAGAACAAUGUGGAGGCGCUAUCAUACCCAAAGUGGAUGGCGAGGGCCCCCUCCGCACGCGGGCGACCUCGCCCCAUCCUCAGGUCAAGAAGAUCUUUCUCGGGGGGAAGACCUCGACCUCUGCCCCCGUGGCCAGACUGCAGCACCCGGCGUGCUGCAGCCACAUCUCGAGUGGCCCCCUCAGUGGCAUCUCCUCGGCGAAGAAUCACGGAAGCUGGAUCCAUGUGCGCGGAGGCAUCGCCGCCCACAUCACGAACUCGCGCGAGGAGCCCUCGGCGUGGGUUCAUGGGCCGGCAGCCUGUGCAACCUCAGCCUGGCCACCACGGCCGUGGCUCGUGCGGCGCGAGGCGCUGCCGCCUUCUCCGAAGCCUCGUGCUUGGGCGUACAGAGGAAGCGGGAAGCCGGGCGGAGUCCGCUCGUACCAAGGCCGCGUCGCCACUGGCCUCUCGCCGGCAUCAAGGAGGCGGCUGAGCCUUUUCUUCGGCGGGAGCGGCCCCUGCUCCUCAUGGGGUUUUUUUUCCCUUUUUCCACCACAGAGAAUCUCCUGAUCGGCGCCAUGGGAACUACAGCGAGGCGGCAAGGCAGAGAGGAGGAAGAAGAAGCAGGCGCCGAGGAGACAGAGAUGAGCAAGGGGGGCUCCGCCCCUCUCUUUAUUUAUAGCCAGAGGGAGGCCAAUCGCCGGCCUCCAUGAUCGCAUGCAAUGAUGGUUUCUCUGCAUGCAGCAGGGUCUCAUCAAGUCGAACGGUUGCCGAGGCUGCGUGGGGAAACGGAGGCGCCAACGUCCCAUCAAAUGUCACGUGUCGACCAAGGCCGCAUGCAGUUAGGGCCCGCGGCGCUCCGCACUUGCCCCUUGGCUUCGCCUGGAAGCCAAGUUCGAGCCCGCCUUGGUCCCGGGGGCUACUGUGGGCAUCCUGGGAUCGGCGGUACCCAGACUUGACUGCGUGUGGCCCACGACGUGGCUCCAUCGACGGCCUGGUACGGCCCAACUUCAACACCAACAGCUCAAGACCCUCGCGAGGGGCCAAUCCUCGCGAGGCGGACGACACCAAGACCACCUCGAGGGACGGCCUCCCCAGGCUAUCUCCCAAGGAGCGGAGAUAUCUAUGCAAGGUGCACCUCAUGAGGUUCGGAUGACGUGAGCCGUGACGACCAAGGCCAGGCGGGCGCCAGUGGGCGCCGUGUACCAGUUUCCUCUUUGGUGCUAAGGAGGCAAGCUCAAGCGCGGAGUCCCGAGGAAUCAAGCAAAGGUUUCCAUUUCGGUGCAACAAGACCAAGACCGCCAGGACGUCAUAGCGGAGGUCAUCGUCGAGCCCACCACGGCGUCAUGACUAGAAGCUUUUGGCAGGCGAAGACUACUUUUGUCAGUAUAGCAUGGACUAGUUGUCUCCCUUCAAAUUUGGCCGUUGUGGGAUCCCUUCCCGCCUUGCAUUUGGGAAGAGGACCAAGGCCCCUAUAAAUAGGACUUAGCCACCACCAUAGCAGGGGAGGGAUCAUUCAGAUCAUCCUCUCACCCACCAGCUCAUCGAGCACAAGAACACCUCUCUUCCUGAGGCUGUUCUCCACUAUACUAGUUCAUCCUCGGCCCCUCGAGGCCAAUCCACCACAAAGCAGGAGUAGGGUUUUACACCGCAAGGUGGCCUGAACCUGGGUAAACUGUUGUGUCUUUUUUUCAUCCAGUUCGUCGAGCUAGGCCGUGGGAUUAGCAAGCGGGCAGAUUGGGGAGGACGAGUUCUUCGCACGCACCCCAGAGUUCGAACCUCUCGAGGGUCUGCGGAACCCUGAAUCCGACACCAAGAGACCAAAAAGAUUUGAUGUUUGCUGUGAGGUGGUAAAGAAAAAUAGCUACGCACUAAGACAACAACAUGUGUGUACUAGUAGUAGCACGUACAUGCUGGAGCUACUAGAUUAGUAUGUACAUGGUUGUUAAGAUGAUGCUGCAUGCAUAACUUAAAAAGGGAGAUGAUUAGUACGUACUUGUAGCAAGCAUCCCAGCUAGCUAGUACAUUUUAGUCUGCAUCCAUUUUAGUCCAUUUUAGUCUGCAUCCGUUUUAGUCCAUUUUAGUCUGUAUCCAUUUUAGGUUAUUUUAGUAAACAAAAAAAUUAGGCAAAAUGAGAAUACAGAGGAGAAAUGAAAUAGCCUACACCCAUUUUAAUCCAGUAGCAAUUUUGCCAAAGGUGACCGUUGCAAACAUUUUAUCAUGUUACAAGCACAUUAUUUGAACGAGCGCUUUUAUUGUUGGUGGCUUAUUUGUAAGCCCAACAAGUUGGGUGAUUUUCUUCAUGGGUGGGUCAUAACCUCAAGCUUUAGGUUACUAUAAACAAGUUUGGAACGACAAAAAUAUCAUUUUUUUACUGUUUUGUUACUAGCCUGAUUCAAAUCCUUUUCAUCUCCAAUGAACGAGCUUUGUACAACAUCAGCCUUGAUUCAAACUCCAUGUACUGAAUAGGUUCAUAGCGUGCACUGCUUUAGCCAACACCCAAUAGCAAGGCAAACAAAGAAGGUCUUAGAACACUUGUCCUUAUAUGAUGUAAAGAUUGCAUUUUUAUUGGGCUAUCUUGUCCUUCCAGUACUAGUUUCAUGUUUAUGUUACAACAACUUUAUUGUGCUACGAGAGCUCUGUUUUAAGUUUCCGGUCUGCUGCAGGUUUACCAAAGAUACACUGGUUGAUGGAGGUCUGGGUGAUCUACAAGCUUAUGAGGAUUUGGAUGAUCUAAAAACUUCUGAAGGCUUGGAUGACCUACAAGCUACUGAAUGUUUGCAAGACCAACAAUUAAGUUGGUGGAGUGAUUAUGUAAUGUGCCUUGUUUGUUGAACCUGGUGACAUUGGCAGGUUGUGCUCAUCUUGGUGGUUGUUUAGGCACAUAAGCAGCCACUAUAUGCUCUUUUUGGUUGGGUGACACACCUAGAAACAUAUAUACUUCUCUCCUUGAUGCACCACUUAUAAUUUUAUUGUGAGGCACACCUAUAAACAUAUAUGUGCUCCUUUUGGGGCACAACCUGUAUAUAUAUGGUUGUUAUGUUUAUUAAAUGAAGUUUAAGGUUUUCGAUGAGGCCUAUAUGUUACUUUAAAGUGUAUGUAUAAAUUGUGUGAUCUGGCCUGAGUGCUUGAA